ACCCUUUUUAAACAUAAAAUCACUCUUUUUGGUUAAAAAAAAGGGGGUGUGUGACAAAGGCUAAUAGGUUGUACUGAUUCCUGUUGGCAUCUCUUAUGAUACAUGAAAAAUGUAAUUACCAACUCGUAACCGAGAAAUGCCCUUUUAAAAAGCUGAUAGUCCAAAUUACUAGCUUCAUUAAGUAAAUCUAAAGCUCAGUUGUGAAUAAGUAGACUGUUCAAGUUAAGUUAUCAACAAUUCUCGGUGUUGUAGUAGGAGGGCAAGGGAUCAGAAAGUUAAUACUAUACUGUUUAUACAUAUCUAAAAUCAUUAUUUGUAUAUGUAUAUACAUUAGAUGUUAACCGCUUCGACUUUUUAGUGCAUUUACUUGUUCGUAUUUUGAAACAGCCUUUCUACUUCAUCAGAGGUAGAGGUAUGGACUGCGUACAUCUUACCCACCCAGACCCCACUAAGUGGGAAUACACUGGGUUUGUUGUUGUUGUUGUUGUUACUUGUUCGUAUUUUGAACCCCUCAAUGAAAGUCACGAUUCUCAAUCAAGAUAAUCAUACCAUGGAGAUGUGUUAAUAGUACGUAAGUACUUUGAACUUCACAGUUAGUGGAUCAGACUUAUGAUUUCCCUUUCAAAGUUCAUGAUCUCCCUACUUAUUUCUAAUUGCUAAUAUUAUUCAUUAGUUUACUCUAUCAUAUGUUGUUAUUAGUUUGCACCUUCCCCUCCCAUAAUGAAACAGAGGCUGCCAUAAUGAAUCAACGGCUUCCUGUGAACGCCAUCAAAACAGAAACUACAGACUGGACUUGUAAGGCUCAGGUGGUCGGCAAGUUUUGGACUCGUGAGAAAAAGCUUAGAGGCUUGAAGUUCAACAGUGUGGAUUGUGCUUUUGCUGAAAAGCACUACACGGACUUGUCUGCAAAGCCUUUCUUCCAUGAGUUUGUUGAAUCCAUUGUUUCUGGUCCUGUUGUUGUGAUGGUAUGGGCGAGCAAGGGUGUAGUUACUACUGGUAGAAAGAUAAUUGGAGCAACAAAUCCAUUGGAGUCUGCUGCUGGCCGGUACCAUCCAUGGUCAUUAUGCUAUUGACGUUGGGAGGGCUAGAAGUGUUACAAAUGCCAUUUUUCAAAUAGAGAUCAAGAGAACUGCUAAACUAAAGAUUAGCAAUUGGAGUUGGUUCAGCAGGGACAUUAUCCACCCAGUCAUAUGACUUGAUGUGCAUAUCUCCAAAAAGAAACUUACUAAAAACCGUCAUUCCAGGGUGAUCAUGUAGUGGAAUGACAGCUGAUGGGGGCAGGCAGAAGAUAUACCAAUCUGCCAAAGAAACAAAAGACUUUAUAAGCCUCAAAAAGAAGACACUGAAGAGAAGAACAUACAGAGCUCAUUCAUUAAUGCAUGAAAUGGCGUUGCACAGACUCAUUUUUAUUCUACUAUACACGUUCGUUGGGCCCGUGCAUCGCACGGGCAUACCUAUCUAGUUAUUAUAAUGAAAAAUGCAAAAAU